rnacentral:rRNA from 1 species
GACGAACGCUGGCGGCGUGCCUAAUACAUGCAAGUAGAACGCACAGUUUAUACCGUAGCUUGCUACACCAUAGACUGUGAGUUGCGAACGGGUGAGUAACGCGUAGGUAACCUGCCUGGUAGCGGGGGAUAACUAUUGGAAACGAUAGCUAAUACCGCAUAAUAUUAAUUAUUGCAUGAUAAUUAAUUGAAAGGUGCAAUUGCACCACUACCAGAUGGACCUGCGUUGUAUUAGCUAGUAGGUGAGGUAACGGCUCACCUAGGCGACGAUACAUAGCCGACCUGAGAGGGUGAUCGGCCACACUGGGACUGAGACACGGCCCAGACUCCUACGGGAGGCGGCAGUAGGGAAUCUUCGGCAAUGGACGAAAGUCUGACCGAGCAACGCCGCGUGAGUGAAGAAGGUUUUCGGAUCGUAAAGCUCUGUUGUAAGAGAAGAACGGGUGUGAGAGUGGAAAGUUCACACUGUGACGGUAUCUUACCAGAAAGGGGCGGCUAACUACGUG